UAGAAAGUGGUGUAAGGGGAGCACCAAGAGUUUUGAUCUCUUAAGAAUGGGUUCAAGCCCCUUCUUUCUAG
rnacentral:tRNA from 1 species